rnacentral:misc_RNA from 1 species
GAAUUCAAGAACAAGAGCAAAUUUAUUGAAAGAAAACAAAAGCAUGCAUGCAUUUGACUGCAAUUUUAACUGUCAAAGCUAGAAGUACCCAACAACAACAAAAAUGAAAGCAAAUACAGGAGGGUACUAAAUGGAGACAAGUUUCAUAUUUUAAUAUAAGAACAAUGUAUCAAAUUGAUGCUUAAAAUCCAUGAGAAGGUAUGUGAAAGAAGACAAAAAUUUCAAAAUCUUGAUGGAAUGGGGAAUAUUUGGACGAUGAUCUGUCAGCCAUCUUCUUCCAUCUUGGAUCCCUUAUCUCAGCACAAUCAGACAGUUCUGGAUCAAAAGGAAAAACUUUACAUUAUUGGCAUUAACACAUAUUAAAACUUAAAGAUUUGGAGAUUAUCAAACUCCUGGGUUUGCACUGCUGAGCAUACCCGGAGACAACGACCGGGAGCUCCUAGAAUCGAUGCCGAGGCAUGAGGUUAAUCGAGCUGAAGACACCGUCGAGAUCAGGGGAAGCAGAGAUUGGAGAGAACCCAACUGAGGAAUUGACCUGAAACUCGACACCCAACAGUCAAAAGAACUGAUUUUUUUAAUCAUUCGAAGAGAACCCGUUGGAGAAAACGACCUUGAAAAUGUAGAAGAGCGAGACGAAAGCCGUGAAGAAGGUAUGGGGUUGGGUUUAAGGGUGGGUUUGUUCACAGCGGAUUUGAGCAGAGAAAGACUCGACCUUGAGAGAGAUCUGCAGCGAGAUGCCAUUUUCCAAAAUGGCAAAACAGACAAAUGUUAAAUUUACGGUUUUCGGAGAGACAAAAUCAUUGGGAAUUUCGGGCUUGCGAUUGUAUAGCACUGGGUUUAGG